UUAAGAAGCAUCUAGUGUGACUCCACUAGGAGCCACAGGUGUGGGUCCCAGGCUUGUGGAGUUCAGAAUCACUCCUGGUCUACCCUUGUCCUGCUUCUCUUUGGGGAGACCUUGGCCUUCCGACCCCGGUGUGGCUUUGGCCUCAGAUCCUCUCCCUGUGGUUUGGCUUCUGGAUGGCCAGAGCUCUUUCGUUCUUGGGUUGUUAUCUGUUGAGACUUGGUUUGCUUUCAGAUUAACUUCUCGGUUUGGCCUGAUGAACUGUUGGGCUGCCCGGCUCCCACCCGUGUGUGCCAGGCUGCGGCGGGGCAAGGUCUUACCUCCCCCUUGGCUAAGAAGCCCAUUCUGGAGGGUUCUCAGACUAUAGACUUUGCCACAUUGACCCUGGAUGCAACUUGGUUUCUCAGGGCUGAUCUCCUUUGGGGACAUCCUAGUCUCUCCUGUGGAAGAAAACUUCCCAAAUCCCUUCUGACAUUCCACCUGGGUCUCACUGCCCACCCGGUUCAGUCUGGCCCUAACAAGGCUCCUCCUGCCAAUAGGAGGGUCUACAGCAUGUGCUCUCUGGUCAGGCCGUGGGUGGGGCUGGUCUGUAGGGAUCCAAUCACAGGCAAGCGGGUGGGAGUGCUCACCUACUGCGGGCGCAGCUUCCGCUCCCACGCCACAUCACGGCAGAGGGGGCGGAGCAUCUCUGCACACGUGGCCUGCCCCUCCACCGUCAACUGCGUGUUGGAGGCGGAGCUUCUUACACACGGCCCUGAGCUGAGGUGUAGGGCCGCCAUUUUGCACCAGGCUUCCUGGUCGGAGGUGUGUGGCACGAGGUCUCUGCACGUGGUGCCUGGGUAGCCAGCCGACUAGACUCAGCACAGGGGAAACAAGGUGAGGGCUCAGCGGGAAGAUGAGGACAAGAGCUCGUGGAACACUGGAUCUGCCGGACCUUGAUCUUGGAUGUCCAGCCCCCAGAGCUGUGAAAACGCGAGGGGCCUUCCGGAGGGGCCCAUGGAACCACGGGGACGGGCAGGGACAUGUGUGCAGGCAGCACUGUCUCCUCCCCCGAGGCAGCAGGGAAAUUCACAGAAUCCACUCCCGCACUCCACCAUGCCUGCCUCUGGACUCGCCUCCAAGGACGGCAGAGUGCUGAGAUGGUAGCCAGAAGCACUGACCCUCCCUCUGAAGCGCAUUCAUUUACAAAGCGUCUGUUUUAACAAAGCCUCUGUCACAAACUACAUCUUGUGUCCUAACUCAAGCCUUCAGCCACAAGUGUGUCACUGGGAACAAAGCCAUAUGGAGCGAUGGGGACAAAGGACUUCUCAUUUCUGGUAAUUUCUGAGCUCUGCAAGAUCCACAGCAGGUGCAAACAGCCUGACUUCCUACUGAAUUCAGCAGUUUCUUCACUAAUGGACAACAAUUCCAUUCAAGCUGGAGCAGUCACUGUGACCACAUCUUUAGUGGCAGACUUAAAAGCUAGUUUGCUUUUUGGCAGAAAUCACUUUCUAAGAUAUGAAAUAACCUUGUCUUUCAAGUUUAGUCUUUUAACACCUUAAAAAAGUUAUCCCCACCCCCAACCAGACACAUUGAGUAAAGUUACCCACUGACUUUGCAUGAAAAGACCUGUGUUGUAGGAGGGCUGACCCUAGGUCUCCAGCCUGGAGCCCCUAGGAUUUCUUCCUCUUCCUCUGGAAGGCCCUAGAUCAGCCUGGUAUGGCAGAGACUCCCGAGCUAUUUCAGUUUCCCCUCUGAAUUCCCUGGUUUCCAGGCCAGGCAUCCCCGUUCCUCCUAGGGGCACCCUCACCUGUUCA